GACUCUCGGCAAUGGUUAUCUUGGCUCUCUCAUCGAUGAAGAACGUAGCGAAAUGCGAUACCUGGUGUGAAUUGCAGAAUCCCGUGAACCAUCGAGUCUUUGAACGCAAGUUGCGCCCGAGGCCAUCCGGCUAAGGGCACGCCUGCCUGGGCGUCA
rnacentral:rRNA from 15 species